UUUUUAUACUAGAUUUAGUUAUUUUAUUUUUUAUUUUGUUAGAUUUAAUUUAUUUUUAUUUAAAAGUUUAAUUAAAAUCCCCCUUUCUUUAAUCUAUUUAACACCAACCAGGCGAGAACAACAUUGUUCUCGCGCGGGUUUGACGUCAUGUGACAGCUGCACGUCAGCGUCCUAAAUUGACAGCUACGGCUUAUAUGGCUGCUAAUCGCACCUUAGGUAGGAAACGUUGUUGGACCCUGACGUACAGACGGGUGAUUAAUCAACCGAACGUUGUAAAGAUCACGGUUGGUCAAGAGGGAACUGGCCAGGUGUAUUUCAGAUCCCCCACUCAAGGAGUGGCUGAAGGGUCUGGAAUACAGCAAGGAUUGUCUGGCUUCAUGCUGACCAGACUGGCGAGCUAACCGGAAAUACAACACCUAUUAUCUGAGGAAACUCUUCCGAACUGGUUGGAGAUUCAUCCCAACAAGUCUUCACUGAAGGAACUGGAUUAUUAUUAUUAUUUUGUUUUUUCUCUUUUCAUCAUCAACAAAGACUGGUUGACUGCCUUGGUAUAAGGAACUCUUUUGGACUCUAAACUGUGGACUAACUUGUAUAUAUUGUAAAUAUUAAUAUAACUCACCAAUUUUUGCACCA